ACCCGCUGAACUUAAGCAUAUCAAUAAGCGGAGGAAAAGAAACCAACAGGGAUUGCCUCAGUAACGGCGAGUGAAGCGGCAACAGCUCAAAUUUGAAAUCUGGUCUCUUCGGGGCCCGAGUUGUAAUUUGAAGAGGAUGCUUCGGCUGCGGCCCUGGCCUAAGUUCCUUGGGACAGGACGUCACAGAGGGUGAGAACCCCGUACGUAGCCGGGUGCCAACGCCAUGUGAAGCUCCUUCGACGAGUCGAGUUGUUUGGGAAUGCAGCUCUAAAUGGGAGGUAUAUUUCUUCUAAAGCUAAAUACCGGCGAGAGACCGAUAGCGCACAAGUAGAGUGAUCGAAAGAUGAAAAGCACUUUGGAAAGAGAGUUAAAAAGUACGUGAAAUUGUUGAAAGGGAAGCGCUUGCAACCAGACUUGGGCGCAGUUGUUUAGCCGGGCUUCCUGCCCGGUGCACUCUUCUGCACGCAGGCCAGCAUCGGUUCGGGCGGCCGGAUAAAGGCUGCGGGAAUGUAGCUCCUCUCGGGGAGUGUUAUAGCCCGCGGUGGAAUGCGGCCAGCCUGGACCGAGGUCCGCGCUCCUGCUAGGAUGCUGGCGUAAUGGUUGUAAGCGGCCCGUCUUGAAACACGG
rnacentral:rRNA from 1 species